CACGUAGGGCGCAAGCGUUGUCCGGAAUUAUUGGGCGUAAAGCGCGCGCAGGCGGCCUCGCGCGCCCGACGUGAAAGCCCCCGGCUUAACCGGGGAGGGUCGUUGGGGACGGCGGGGCUUGAGGGCGGGAGAGGUCGGUGGAAUUCCCGGUGUAGUGGUGAAAUGCGUAGAGAUCGGGAGGAACACCUGUGGCGAAGGCGGCCGACUGGGCCGACCCUGACGCUGAGGCGCGAAGGCGUGGGGAGCGAACGGG
rnacentral:rRNA from 1 species